rnacentral:rRNA from 1 species
UACAGGGGGUGCAAACGUUGCUCGGAAUUAUUGGGCGUAAAGAGCGUGUAGGCGGCCAGGUAGGUCUGCUGUGAAAACUCGAGGCUCAACCUCGAGAUGUCGGCGGAAACCAUCUGGCUAGAGUCCGGAAGAGGAGAAUGGAAUUCCCGGUGUAGCGGUGAAAUGCGCAGAUAUCGGGAAGAACACCCGUGGCGAAGGCGGUUCUCUGGGACGGUACUGACGCUGAGACGCGAAAGCGUGGGGAGCGAACAGG